rnacentral:rRNA from 1 species
GACAGAGGGUGCAAACGUUGUUCGGAAUUACUGGGCGUAAAGCGCGUGUAGGCUGCUCUGCAAGUCGGGUGUGAAAGCCCCGGGCUCAACCUGGGAAGUGCACUCGAAACUGCAGAGCUCGAGUCCUGGAGAGGAAGGCGGAAUUCUCGGUGUAGAGGUGAAAUUCGUAGAUAUCGAGAGGAACACCGGUGGCGGAAGGCGGCCUUCUGGACAGUGACGUGACGCUGAGACGCGAAGGCGUGGGGAGCGAACGGGGAUUAAGAUAC